rnacentral:pre_miRNA from 10 species
CAGAGCUGUGGAGUGUGACAAUGGUGUUUGUGGCCAAACUAUCAAACGCCAUUAUCACACUAAAUAGCUACUGU